rnacentral:misc_RNA from 1 species
CCUAAUUCGAAUUCCAGGUCUGGUUUAAAACUGAAAGCACCGUCUGCUUCGAAAAGUGGACCUCGCAAAUCCAAUGGAAAUGCCAUUGGUUAUAACUACCCUUCUGUUGAGCUUCAGGAGGGUUUGCACAAAGAAUUAUCUGUCGAGGAUAAUGACAGAGAUAAUGAUUUAGAUGAAUCACAACCCAUUCUUUUGGUUGGUUCCAAGGAGAACCAGAUAGUUGCUUACUUAGAUGAAACACCACCUUUGAAGGCCCAUAAUACUGAUAUCACUUACGGUUACAAUUCAAGUUUUGUGCUUGGUGAUAACUUGCAUAGAGGAUUGGGGUUCUAUGAUGAAUCUGAGACAAACCCGGAUGCUGUUGGUUCAUCAUCAAAGCAAAUGGAAGAACAGCCAGAAGGAUCAUAUUCUUCAUUCUCUGAUAAAGAAAUAGAAACUGAUGAGACUAUUAUUUGUGAGGUAGGUGAAGAAAUGGUUGAAGAAGUGUCAACUGAGGCAUUCUUUCCAAAGAAAAAUUCUGGAUUUUUGUCAAUUGGAGGCAUCAAAUUAUUCACCCAAGAUCUUUCUGGUGGGGAAAGUGAUGGAGAGUUAGAAGAUGAUGAAGUUUCUGAAUCUUCUGAACUAGGGGAGCCGACUGGACUGUCUGAUAAUGAUGUCUCUGAUAAUAUGUCUGAAAGUGAUUCAGAUAUUGAUGAAGAAGUUGCAGAAGACUACUUAGAUGGAAUUGGUGGGAGUGACAACAUGUUAGAUGCCAAAUGGUUGGUAGAAAAUCAUUUAGAUGGCUCAAAUGAGGAUAGUUCUUC